CCUACGGGAGGCAGCAGUGGGGAAUCUUGCGCAAUGGGCGAAAGCCUGACGCAGCAACGCCGCGUGCGGGAAGAAGGCCUUCGGGUUGUAAACCGCUUUCAGAAGGAACGAAAAUGACGGUACUUUCAGAAGAAGGUGCGGCCAACUACGUGCCAGCAGCCGCGGUGACACGUAGGCACCAAGCGUUGUCCGGAUUUAUUGGGCGUAAAGAGCUCGUAGGCGGUUCGGUAAGUCGGGUGUGAAAACUUUGGGCUCAACCCAAAGCGUGCAUUCGAUACUGUCGUGACUAGAGUUCGGUAGGGGAGCGGGGAAUUCCUAGUGUAGCGGUGAAAUGCGCAGAUAUUAGGAGGAACACCGGUGGCGAAGGCGCCGCUCUGGGCCGAAACUGACGCUGAGGAGCGAAAGCGUGGGUAGCAAACAGGAUUAGAUACCCUGGUAGUCCACGCCGUAAACGUUGGGCACUAGGUGUGGGUCUCAACCAACGAGAUCCGCGCCGUCGCAAACGCAUUAAGUGCCCCGCCUGGGGAGUCGGCCGCAAGGUUAAAACUCAAAUGAAUUGACGG
rnacentral:rRNA from 1 species